AGUUUCGUGGUCUAGUUAGUUAUAACACCUCGCUAACACUGAGGUGGUCCCUGGUUUGAGCCCGGGCGAAACCA